rnacentral:rRNA from 1 species
AUACAAAGAGAAGCGACCUCGCGAGAGCAAGCGGACCUCAUAAAGUGCGUCGUAGUCCGGAUUGGAGUCUGCAACUCGACUCCAUGAAGUCGGAAUCGCUAGUAAUCGUGGAUCAGAAUGCCACGGUGAAUACGUUCCCGGGCCUUGUACACACCGCCCGUCACACCAUGGGAGUGGGUUGCAAAAGAAGUAGGUAGCUUAACCUUCGGGAGGGCGCUUACCACUUUGUGAUUCAUGACUGGGGUGAAGUCGUAACAAGGUAACCGUAGGGGAACCUGCGGUUGGA